CCAGCAGGGGGCGCGGGGCGGGAGAGGCCUUCGGGGCUCCUGAAGUUGGGGUUCCCGGGAAUGAGGGGAGUGUGUGAGCCGGGCGGGCUGAGAGCAGGUUAGAGCCAGGCUGACAGCGGUUGGGGAGAAGGCGAACUGGGCGUGGUAGUUUUCACUCUACACUCCGCCCACAGUGUUUGUUGGCACGGUGAUGACGUCAUCCUAACUCAGAGCUAACUAAUGGUUUGAUGGGCCUGACUCCUGCCGGCUCUGGUGGCGCAGGCCGGAAGGAUUUGCUGAAGGAGGCAGAGGCAGGUGGAUCUGGAGUUCGAGGCCAGCCAGGACUACACAUUUUUUUUUCUUGUUCUCCAACAAAACAUCCACAGCUACACACUACACUAAAAUUCCUACACUCACAAAGCCUCUCUGCACUUUAUUCUCAACCUCAUUUCCCUCGCGACCGACUCCCAACCAACACCAUCUUCUCCAGACGCACAGGCGCCUGCUCCACCCCGCUGCUCACAACAAGCCUUUGCUCACACACAGACUCACACGCUCCAUCUCCGCGCUGGCCAAUGCUCGCACUGCUCACUCCUCUCCCCGACAGGCUCCCUUCCCUACAACCCCUCUCUCUCCUCAGACACUCCAACCCUGAGCUUCAUUUGUCUCUAGCCUGCGCGUGCCAGGGUCUGCUUCUUGACCCCAGCGUCAGGGCUCGCUGUGCGGGGUCCCAGGGAGCAUCCAGACAGAGAUCCGCAGUCCCACAGUCGGCGCCACGCGGCUCACGACACACAGAUUGUCCUCUCCUCCGCCAGAAUUCAUUCACUUAGCACGACGGCCUCUUUUCAUCUUCCCUGUGCCUCGUACACUUGCUCCCUCCAGCUCCUGCUGGGGACCCCACAGCCUGUCCCUGUCCCCUCCUUCUCCUCCUACUCCUGCCCUCUGUUCUUCUGCUGCUAGAGGGUAGGGAUGAGGCGGGCCGGGGUCCACGUGGCUCUGGAACCUCCAGGUCUUCCUCCGUCAGUGUGGACAGCAUGUGGGAGGCCAACACUAAGUGGCCCUUCCUGCUUAAGGAUGAAGGAUGCCGCGUCCUACUAUGCACAAGCCAUUCGCGUAUAACGAACUCUUCCUGAGGCUAAGCACGCAAGGCUGUGGUUUCUACACUGGGCCACAGGUCCUGCUGCUGUCAACAUGGGCAUAUGGGUACCUGCUACACCCCUGCGGGCCUAUCCCGCGGGCCACCUGGGGACAGCUGGGGAAGAAUGCAGCCCUGCACAAAACUGAAAACUCACUUAAAACAUGAUGAGACCUUUUGUGUUUGAGUUUGGCUUUGUUUUGACCCAAUCGUGCAGUUCUCAAGAGUGAACUGGGUGCGCCGCAGCAUCCUGUGGCCGUGUCAGAGGGUUGGACACGCCUGUGCCUGUGCAUCGGGUCCUCACUGUGACAAUACUGAGGGGGACGGAUGCUGGACCACAGGCUCCAGUCUUGACUCCAGCUUCUGUCCCACCUUCUCCUUCCAGUUUCCUCCCAUGUCUUCCCUCCUAUCGGUUAAAACCCACCCUGUGCCGGCUCAUUUGGGGCUGCACCCACCCACCUGUCCAAAAAGGCACAGGGGAAAGAACAACUCACGACAACAGUAUCCCCACCAUGGGUGCUGCUCUGUUUUGUGACUUGGACUGAAGUUGAGAGUCUUCAGGAAGAGGAGACAUCACUGCGAAAAUCCCUCCAUAAGACGGGGUAGGCAGUAAGUCCGUGUGACAUUUUCUUUGCCAUCAUCUGUUGAAUAUCCCCAGGAAUUGGUCCAUGCGUUCCCUGAAAACCCUCAAGAUCUGAAAUGUUCACCAGACCCGUCCUCAAGGAAUCCACGGCCGGAGGUGCGGGAGUGUUUCCCGGGGUGACCAGCAGGGGGCGCGGGGCGGGAAAGGCCUUCGGGGCUCCUGAAGUUGGGGUUCCCGGGAAUGAGGGGAGUGUGUGAGCCGGGCGGGCUGAGAGCAGGUUAGAGCCAGGCUGACAGCGGUUGGGGAGAAGGCGACCUGGGCGUGGUAGGCGGUUUUCACUCUACACUCCGCCCACAGUGUUGGGAGGGAGAUGACGUCAUCGUAACUCAGCGCUAACUAAUGGUUUGAUGAGUCUGACUCCCGCCGG
ensembl:lncRNA